rnacentral:misc_RNA from 1 species
AAUAAAUAAAUAAAUAAGCAAUAUCAGUGACAUUAAGCUACAAAAUUAAGCAUGUUAGCAAGUAAUAUUUGUUGGCAAGACAUGAAAACAUUCCACAAUCCAGGUUAUCCUAGCCAAGUCUUUUCCAUGUCAAGUGGGCCAGCUAUGAAGCCAGUAAUUAUAAAUGGAUUUGCAGAUAGAUGUGAGAUGAGGAAGAAUAUUCAAAGGUUGCAUUUAAGAUGCAACGUUUUCAACAAAUUCACAUAAAAG